CCUAACACAUGCAAGUCGAACGGUAACAGGAAGAAGCUUGCUUCUUUGCUGACGAGUGGCGGACGGGUGAGUAAUGUCUGGGAAACUGCCUGAUGGAGGGGGAUAACUACUGGAAACGGUAGCUAAUACCGCAUAACGUCGCAAGACCAAAGAGGGGGACCUUCGGGCCUCUUGCCAUCGGAUGUGCCCAGAUGGGAUUAGCUAGUAGGUGGGGUAACGGCUCACCUAGGCGACGAUCCCUAGCUGGUCUGAGAGGAUGACCAGCCACACUGGAACUGAGACACGGUCCAGACUCCUACGGGAGGCAGCAGUGGGGAAUAUUGCACAAUGGGCGCAAGCCUGAUGCAGCCAUGCCGCGUGUAUGAAGAAGGCCUUCGGGUUGUAAAGUACUUUCAGCGGGGAGGAAGGGAGUAAAGUUAAUACCUUUGCUCAUUGACGUUACCCGCAGAAGAAGCACCGGCUAACUCCGUGCCAGC
rnacentral:rRNA from 1 species